rnacentral:rRNA from 1 species
UACGGGGGGGGCAGGCGUUGUUCGGAAUUACUGGGCGUAAAGGGCUCGUAGGCGGCCAACUAAGUCCGACGUGAAAUCCCCAGGCUUAACCUGGGAACUGCGUCGGAUACUGGAUGGCUUGAAUCCGGGAGAGGGAUGCGGAAUUCCAGGUGUAGCGGUGAAAUGCGCAGAUAUCAGGAGGAACACCGGUGGCGAAGGCGGGUCUCUGGGCAACAACUGACGCUGAGGAGCGAAAGCGUGGGGAGCGAACAGG